rnacentral:rRNA from 1 species
AUUGAACGCUGGCGGCAGGCCUAACACAUGCAAGUCGAGCGGAUGAAGGGAGCUUGCUCCUGGAUUCAGCGGCGGACGGGUGAGUAAUGCCUAGGAAUCUGCCUGGUAGUGGGGGAUAACGUCCGGAAACGGGCGCUAAUACCGCAUACGUCCUGAGGGGGAAGGUGGGGGACUUUGGACCUCACGGUCUUAGAUGAGCCUAGGGCGGAUUUGCUAGUUGGUGGGGUAAAGGCCUACCAAGGCGACGAUCCGUAACUGGUCUGAGAGGAUGAUCAGUCACACUGGAACUGAGACACGGUCCAGACUCCUACGGGAGGCAGCAGUGGGGAAUAUUGGACAAUGGGCGAAAGCCUGAUCCAGCCAUGCCGCGUGUGUGAAGAAGGUCUUCGGAUUGUAAAGCACUUUAAGUUGGGAGGAAGGGCAGUAAGUUAAGACCUUGCUGUUUUGACGUGACCAACAGAAUAAGCACCGGCUAACUGCGU